CGGUUCUGCCCCCCAGCGACAGGGCUGUUUAGCCAAAGUGGAGACAGUCGGUCUUCCCAUCCAGCAGCAGAGCUGUGUAUCUAAAGGGGAGACAGUCGGUCUCCCCCUCCAGCAACCAGGCUCCAACCAGACUACUCUUGUGGUAGUGCUGGCACCAGGACAGAGCACCGCUGGUCUCUGCCCACUCAGCAACCCACCCAGUCCACUUACCA